CAGCUUCCAUUUUGUGAAGACACUCAAUAUAUUGUACAAAGCAGACCAUGUGACAAUAAACUACAGUCUCUUGCUGACAAUAAAGAUGACUUGCCAGACAAAUGAGUGAUCCACAUUAAAUGGAAGUGAAUUAUCUAACCCGACCAAGCCUUCAGAUGAUUAUCGAAUGGGCCAACAUUGUGAUUAAAACCUCAUGAGAUACUUUAAACCAAAACAGCCACUCCCAAAUUCUGGACCGACAGGAACUACCUAUUGCUGGUUUAAGUUUUCAGAAGCUGGCCAUAAAGAAAUCUCUGACCUACCUUGACAGAUUGUAGACCAUUAGACCUUCAUUCCAGAAGGAGUCCUGCUCUAUGCCCAGAGGAAGGAAUGCUACACAGAGAAGCCAAGAAGAAUCUGAACAGACAGGCAAGGCUGGGCUCCCUCCCCACCCCCACUCAGUCUAUUACCAUUAGAUUGCACUCUUUUUGUCCAGUUACAUUUCUACACAGCUCUCCAUUCCUCAUCAAAUUUAAGCACAAAAAUGAAUAGUUUUCCCUGGGCUUUG
rnacentral:lncRNA from 1 species